rnacentral:lncRNA from 1 species
UGGGCUCGAUAUUAAAUCGAGAAAAGUAUGAUUUUUAUAGUUUGAGAAAAAUGGUUUUUGAACUAAAUUCAAAUACAAUAACUAUGCAUUAUUAACACAUGAAAUCAAGAGUAUAAUAAACAUAAAAAGAAGAUAUUAAUAAAAUACUAAGAGGAUAAAAAAUGCUAAAGGAAAAUAAAAAUCAAAUAAAAAGCAAAAAGUGUCACACAUGAGUAUCAAACCCUCUCCACCUAAUAUUAUGCAAUUAAACUUUCUCCACUAGGCCACUCAAGAUUAGUUAUCAUUUUAAUACUAUUUUAAAUAUAUGAACCAAAAUAGAUUAAACAUUAGAAUAAAAACUGAAAUAAAAUAAAAAACAAAAUAAACAUUUUUAUGUUUUUUUUAUUAUCUCUGUUAAAAAACAAAUUAAGCUAAAUAAAAAAUAAAAUAAAUAAUAAUAAUAAAAGAAAAUAAGAACAUAUACAUUUUUAUGAUUUUUGUGUUAAAAAUGAAAUAAAUAAAAUAAUAAAAGAAAUAAUUAAAAAAAGGGAAAAAAAGAAAAUGGAAACAGCAGAAGCUCUUCCCUACUGCUAUCGUCUCCCUCACUCUCUCUCACCUUACGAGCUACGACUCUCCUUCCUCAUCGCUCAAACCUCAAAAUUUCUCUCUCU